AAUCGAAGGUCCCAGCAGAGGGGUAGGAACUCUAAGAUGAGACCUCUCUAACAAAAAUAAACCUUCGAAUAUCGAGAAUGUUUUCAGCCGUUACGUUGGAUGCCCAAAGCAGUUGCCAUUUUGGAUCAUCUACAUCUCGCGGCUACAUACGG